AGUCAAUAGAUACCCAGGUAGUCCACGCCGUAAACGAUGAGUACUAGGUGUAGGAGGUAUCGACUCCUUCUGUGCCGCAGUUAACACAAUAAGUACUCCGCCUGGGAAGUACGGUCGCAAGAUUAAAACCUCAAAGGAAUUGACGGGGGGUCCCGGCACAAGCAGCGGAGCACGUGGUUUAAUUCGAAGCAACGCGAAGAACCUUACCUAGACUUGACAUCUCCUGAAUAGUGUAGAGAUACAUGAAGCCCUUCGGGGUCAGGAAGACAGGUGGUGCAUGGUUGUCGUCAGCUCGUGUCGUGAGAUGUUGGG
rnacentral:rRNA from 1 species